rfam:Schistosoma mattheei strain Denwood, Zambia genome assembly, scaffold: SMTD_scaffold0005989
AGCUUUUUGAAUCCGUGCUGAAACUUCGUCAGACACCAACCCAUUAGGGUUGAUCCGAGUUCCAAGAUAAGUGAAGUU